AUGCGGGUGAAGGCGGCCAAGGUGAGCUUUCGCAGCCGCUUCAGCCUCGUGGACGCUGCGUCGCGCCGCACGGUGGUCACCAUGCAGCGGCGCGCGCCGUCCCUGUUCAUGCCCGACGACCGGAGGUGGGAGGCGUUCAGGGGGGCCAGCACGAGCCCAACGGAUCUGCUCUUCGAAGCCGUGCCGCGGCCUGCGCUGUUCAGCUGGGGCGAGGUGGACGUGCACCUCGCCGGCCGCGACCCCAGCGAGAGCCUCAGGCGGCGCGAGUUCGUUGUCGUGUGCCGCGGGCCAGAGUGCACCGUCCACCGUCGCAGCUCCGGCGCCGCCGUUGCUAAGAUCGAGGAUACGUCGGAACAGCGCCUGGAGUAUAACGUGAGUGUCAGCCCAGGCGUGGACCAUGCUUUCAUCCUGGCGCUCACCGUGAUUCUGGACGAGAUACGUCUCGAUGAAACUAGUUGA
rnacentral:rRNA from 1 species